rnacentral:rRNA from 1 species
CCUACGGGAGGCAGCAGUGAGGAAUCUUGGUCAAUGGACGAGAGUCUGAACCAGCCAAGUAGCGUGAAGGAUGACUGCCCUAUGGGCUGUAAACUCCUUUUAUAAAGGAAUAAAACGAGGCACGUGUGCCUUUUUGCAUGUACUUUAUGAAUAAGGAUCGGCUAACUCCGUGCCAGCAGCCGCGGUAAUAUGGAGGAUCCGAGCGUUACCCGGAUUUAUUGGGUUUAAAGGGAACGUAGAUGGGUUGUUAAGUCAGUUGUGAAAGUUUGCGGCUCAACCGUAAAAUUGCAAUUGAUACUGGCAGUCUUGAGUACAGUUGAGGUAGGCGGAAUUCGUGGUGUAGCGGUGAAAUGCUUAGAUAUCAGGAAGAACCCCGAUUGCGAAGGCAGUUCACUGGACUGCAACUGACACUGAGGCUCGAAAGUGUGGGUAUCAAACAGGAUUAGAUACCCGAGUAGUC